rnacentral:misc_RNA from 1 species
GCCUAACGGCUUGUUCACAAGAAAAGGGACUCUUUUAAACUCGUUCAUCCACCAUUUCUGAACGAUUCGAUCACCUCUCGUUAGAGCGGCCACACCCAGACCAUCCGGAUCUUGCAAAAUGGGAUUGUUCAGCGGAUUCAGUACCUCCCAGUUGGACUUAAACAUCCUAUCCCGACGCAAAAAAUCCCCCUUCUUAUCGAACCAGUCUCCCCACCCAUCUCUUAAGGGCGAAACUUUUCCACCCACCUUUAACAAAAGCGCAUCCUCGAUCCCAGUCAUUUCGCUUGCUUUCCUCCUCACCUCUUCGUCAACCGGCACAUCAUCAGAGCCAAACGCAGCUUUACUGCGAUCCUCUUCACCUAAUCCGAUAGGAAAACCAGAAGUGUCAUCAGACCAAUCUUGGAUGGAACGUUUGUUAUCAAAA